UACGUAGGGGGCGAGCGUUGUCCGGAAUCAUUGGGCGUAAAGCGCGUGUAGGCGGCCCGGUAAGUCCGCUGUGAAAGUCCAGGGCUCAACCCUGGGAUGCCGGUGGAUACUGUCGGGCUCGAGUCCGGAAGAGGCGAGUGGAAUUCCUGGUGUAGCGGUGAAAUGCGCAGAUAUCAGGAGGAACACCAAUGGCGAAGGCGGCUCACUGGACCGGUACUGACGCUGAUGCGCGAAAGCGUGGGGAGCAAACGGG
rnacentral:rRNA from 1 species